rnacentral:rRNA from 1 species
GACGAACGCUGGCGGCGUGCUUAACACAUGCAAGUCGAACGAAGUGGCGAACGGGUGAGUAACGCGUAAUCAACCUGCCCUUCAGAGGGGGACAACAGUUGGAAACGACUGCUAAUACCGCAUACUGAUGGCGGGGAUUGCGUCUGAUUGGCUAGUUGGAGGGGUAACGGCCUACCAAGGCGAUGAUCAGUCGCUGGUCUGAGAGGAUGAGCAGCCAAACUGGGACUGAGACACGGCCCAGACUCCUACGGGAGGCAGCAGUGGGGAAGCUUCCGCAAUGGACGAAAGUCUGACGGAGCAACGCCGCGGGAGUGAUGACGGCCUUCGGGUUGUAAAGCUCUGUUAAUCGGGACGCGGUACCGGAAUAGAAAGCCACGGCUAACUACGUGCCAGCAGCCGCGGUAAUAC